GUGCUGCCUUUGAAUCCCCUGAGCCACGAGGAGGGGUUAAGUUGCAGUACCAUAGCAGUUGCUGGCACAUAACUGGGACUGCCUGCUCAUUGCAGGCGGCCCUAAGAGAGAAAAGA